ACACCUCACCCCCUCGGGUUUUUUGCCCGACUGUGGUGGACUUGGGCGCUGCCAGCCAUGGCUCGCCUCAAAUGCAUUAGCAGUCUCUGACGUGAUGAGUUUCGUCUGUCGGCUGCUCCUAAUCUCCUUCGGGAUGUGCCUCUCGGUGCAACUUCAUG
rnacentral:misc_RNA from 1 species